rnacentral:rRNA from 1 species
UACGGAGGGUGCAAGCGUUAUCCGGAUUCACUGGGUUUAAAGGGUGCGUAGGAGGGCAGGUAAGUCAGUGGUGAAAUCUUCGAGCUUAACUCAGAAACUGCCGUUGAUACUAUCUGUCUUGAAUACCGUGGAGAUGAGCGGAAUAUGUCAUGUAGCGGUGAAAUGCUUAGAUAUGACAUAGAACACUAAUUGCGAAGGCAGCUCGUUACACGAAUAUUGACUCUGAGGCACGAAAGCGUGGGGAUCAAACAGG